ACGGGAGGCAGCAGUGGGGAAUUUUGCGCAAUGGGGGCAACCCUGACGCAGCAACGCCGCGUGCGGGAUGACGGCCUUCGGGUUGUAAACCGCUUUCAGCAGGGAAGAUUAUGACGGUACCUGCAGAAGAAGCUCCGGCUAACUACGUGCCAGCAGCCGCGGUAAUACGUAGGGAGCGAGCGUUAUCCGGAUUCAUUGGGCGUAAAGCGCGCGUAGGCGGCUUGCCAAGCGGGAUCUCCAAUCUGGGGGCUCAACCUUCAGCCGGAUCCCGAACUGGCAGGCUCGAGUUCGGUAGAGGAAGACGGAAUUCCCAGUGUAGCGGUGAAAUGCGCAGAUAUUGGGAAGAACACCGAUGGCGAAGGCAGUCUUCUGGGCCGUAACUGACGCUGAGGUGCGAAAGCUAGGGGAGCGAACAGGAUUAGAUACCCUGGUA
rnacentral:rRNA from 1 species